AUGAAGGUGGGGAGAGGAUGGACCACGGACCGGAGGAGGUGUGCGGAAAGAAGCUUGUUCUGGAAUAAGGGAGCCGAGGAGAAGGAAGGGGUCCGGAGCGCGAGGGUGUCGGGUGCGGGCAGAGCGCGCGUGCAGGACAGCACCUCUGCCGGCCGUUGGCUGCAGGCCCGCGCGCACUCACAAAAUGGCUUCGAACGCACAGCGAGCAGGGCCGCAGCCUGGGAGGAGCUCCUUGCUGAAUCACCAAGCUGUGUUCUGCAAUUCCGGUUGCAGUCUUACACUGCGCCCCACGGCAGCUUGCUUUGCUGUCCAGCAGAGGCAGCGCUCUGCCCGUGUGUGCGCAUGUGUGCGCGCGCGUGCGUGCCCUCUCCCUCUCCACAGCAGGCUGGCGAGGCAGCCACACUCUGUCCCACCUGCUGGCAGUUCCCUGAAGAGCACCUGGCCCUUCCUAGCCCCUCACUGACUCCCCCAAACUCCACCCAGUUCCUCUCAUUCCGAAGGCCAAGUGUGGCCCGGAAAUCACCCCAAGGGGGAUUGCUUUGUACCCGUGCCCAGUACUUCUCUUUUGAAAUGGAUCUCUGCCUCCGUGGAAGUUCUGGGUUAUACACAAGAACAGAAAGGGACGGACAGCCCUUUUACCUGCCACCAUUUUGAGUCCUUAUUCCACCACGUCCAGAAGUUACUGCACUUUCUCCUGAAACACCACAGAGACUCCUAUGGCUCCCCAGGAAGGUGGAAGUCCUUCUGUCCAGACAUCUGAUGGGCUGGGAGGAUGGGGGACAGAGAUGGGCCGGGC
rnacentral:lncRNA from 1 species